AGCGGCGGACGGGUGAGUAACGCGUAGGAAUCUACCCAGUAGCGGGGGAUAACAAUCGGAAACGGUUGCUAAUACCGCAUACGCCCUAAGGGGGAAAGCAGGGGAUCUUCGGACCUUGCACUAUUGGAUGAGCCUGCGUCGGAUUAGUUUGUUGGUGAGGUAAUGGCUCACCAAGACGACGAUCCGUAGCUGGUCUGAGAGGAUGAUCAGCCACAUCGGGACUGAGACACGGCCCGA
rnacentral:rRNA from 1 species